rnacentral:rRNA from 1 species
UACGGAAGGCAGCAGUGGGGAAUAUUGCACAAUGGGCGCAAGCCUGAUGCAGCCAUGCCGCGUGUAUGAAGAAGGCCUUCGGGUUGUAAAGUACUUUCAGUCGUGAGGAAGGUGUUAAGGUUAAUAACCUUAGCAAUUGACGUUAGCGACAGAAGAAGCACCGGCUAACUCCGUGCCAGCAGCCGCGGUAAUACGGAGGGUGCGAGCGUUAAUCGGAAUUACUGGGCGUAAAGGGCACGCAGGCGGUUAAUUAAGUUGGAUGUGAAAUCCCCGGGCUUAACCUGGGAAUGGCAUUCAAGACUGGUUAGCUAGAGUCUUGUAGAGGGGGGUAGAAUUCCAUGUGUAGCGGUGAAAUGCGUAGAGAUGUGGAGGAAUACCGGUGGCGAAGGCGGCCCCUGGGACAAAGGACUGACGCUCAUGUGCGAAAGCGUGGGGAGCAAAC